rnacentral:lncRNA from 1 species
UUAUGGUCAAUAGAGACCCAAUUGCAUUCCAAUAAUAGAAACCUAGUAUGUAUAUUCGUACAUAUACAUAUAUAGCAAGAAAAUAAGAGCUAUGCUUUCUCUUUAUUUUCUUUAUAAGAGUACUAUAUUCUUAACACAAAAUCAAACAACUAAAGAGGAAGAACCAAAAUCAUUCAUCUCCUUCAACCCAUUUCAAAAAACAAAAAAAAAAACAAGAAACUCACUCAUCAUCAUCUUCAAAAUCAUCACCCCCCACUUCCACCAUGGAGUUGCGUUGAUAAAUCUCAGAUCUUCAAAAAGUCAGUUAGUUUCUCAGAUCUUCAAGAAGUCAGUUAGUUUCUUCAUGUUUCAUGUUCUUUUUUGACAAAAAGUUUUUUUUUUGUUUUUGUUUUUGCAGAACAACACCUUUUUUCUCUUUUCUAAGCCUGUCUGGACUAUUUGGGGUGUGAGAGAAAG